UAACUUACGUUUCAUUCGUAAUGAAAAAUUUCAUAUGAUAAAGAGCUGAAGUAGCAUUGCCUCAGAGACUUCACUCUCAAGAGGAGCUUGAUAUGCUUUUGGGGAUGAGAAGUGCAUUGAGGUUUUGGUACUCUAGCAGGUUCGAUGUCUUAUAUCACUGCUAUAUUUGAAAACAGAAGAUUGAUGGUGCUUCCUAGUGUUCAUUUUUCGGUUACGUAAUCAACUUGUAAAGAAAUUAUCGGCAAUGAUUCAUUCUCAGAUAUUGGAAGAAAGGCCAAGCUGGGGCCUUGGGGGGAUAUCCUGUUUCGGGCCUGGAAAACCCCGAAGAGGGAAUUCGAGGAUUGAAAUUGAAAAUUGGCUUUUGCGGGAUUUGAUCCGGGGUGUAGUAUGCGUCAGAUGGGCAACUUUUGCUCUAGACUUUAGGAGGGAUUUUAGGUGCCCCAUUGAUCGGAGGCCCUCCUUGGGGCUGGGGGUGAGAAGGCACCUUUCUGAAUUGUGGAGCCUGCGGUAUCAAAAUCUCUGUAGGACCUUCAAAGUGGUUGCUCUUUUUGUUGGUGGUAAAAGUCGUAAAAUUUUUAGACUCUUAUAUACAGCAACGCUAUGAUGACCAAAGAUGGUUGGAGUAAUAAAUAUUGAUGUGCUAUUGUCAGUGUA